rnacentral:lncRNA from 1 species
GUUAUAUCACGAGAUAGCGAAUAAAUGAUUUGUAUAAUGCUACAUAGCUUUUGUUAUAUCACGAGAUAGUGAGCAAAUGAUGUGUAUACUCUACCUAACUUUUGUCAUAUCACGAGUUUGUCAUUCAAUCAAAGUCUCACUUAUUGGCGACAAAAAGCUUCAACAAACGACUCUUAAGCGACAAAAAAAAACACAUUUAGACGGAAACUGAGUCUGGCACAAAUACAAAAUAUCAAUCCUGG